UACGUAGGCAGCGAGCGUUGUUCGGAGUUAUUGGGCGUAAAGCGUGCGUAGGCGGUUGUCUAAGUUUGGUGUGAAAUCUCCCGGCUUAACUGGGAGGGUGCGCCGAAAACUGGGUGACUGGAGUGCCGGAGAGGUAAGCGGAAUUCCUGGUGUAGCGGUGAAAUGCGUAGAGAUCAGGAGGAACACCUGUGGUGUAGACAGCUUACUGGACGAUAACUGACGCUGAGGCACGAAAGCGUGGGUAGCAAACAGG
rnacentral:rRNA from 1 species